rnacentral:rRNA from 1 species
UAUUGCUGCCAGUUAGCUCUCUGCAUCUCUCACAUGGUUGUCACUGAAGCUAAGCAGGGAUGCGCCCGGUCAGUAUCUGGAUGGGAGACCACAUGGGAAAGCUAGGUUGCAGCUGUGU